GUUGGCCUAGUGGUUAGAGCGUCCGCCUCUGAUACGGGAGGUCGAAGGUUUGAAUCCUGGCCAAGUCA